rnacentral:rRNA from 1 species
UAAGAGGGGGAGUAACAUCCGGAAACGGGUGCUAAUACCGCAUAGUUUUCUUGAUCGCAUGAUUGAGAAAGGAAAGACGGCCUUUGUGCUGUCGCUUAUGGAUGGACCCGCGGCGUAUUAGUUAGUUGGUGAGGUAACGGCUCACCAAGACGAUGAUACGUAGCCGACCUGAGAGGGUGAUCGGCCACAUUGGGACUGAGACACGGCCCAAACUCCUACGGGAGGCAGCAGUAGGGAAUCUUCCGCAAUGGACGAAAGUCUGACGGAGCAACGCCGCGUGAGUGAAGAAGGGUUUUUUCCGGGAUCGUAAAACUCUGUUGUCAGAGAAGAACAAGUUGGAGAGUAACUGCUCCAGCCUUGACGGUAUCUGACCAGAAAGCCACGGCUAACUACGUGCCAGCAGCAGC